rnacentral:rRNA from 1 species
GUAGGGGGCAAGCGUUAUCCGGAUUUACUGGGUGUAAAGGGAGCGUAGACGGCACGGCAAGCCAGAUGUGAAAGCCCGGGGCUCAACCCCGGGACUGCAUUCGGAACUGCUGAGCUAGAGUGUCGGAGAGGCAAGUGGAAUUCCUAGUGUAGCGGUGAAAUGCGUAGAUAUUAGGAGGAACACCAGUGGCGAAGGCGGCUUGCUGGACGAUGACUGACGUUGAGGCUCGAAAGCGUGGGGAGCAAACAGGAUUAGAUACCCUGGUAGUCCACGCCGUAAACGAUGACUGCUAGGUGUCGGGUGGCAAAGCCAUUCGGUGCCGCAGCUAACGCAAUAAGCAGUCCACCUGGGGAGUACGUUCGCAAGAAUG